rnacentral:rRNA from 1 species
UGGGGGAUAUUGCACAAUGGGCGAAAGCCUGAUGCAGCGACGCCGCGUGGGGGAUGAAGGCCUUCGGGUUGUAAACUUCUUUUGCUCUGAACAAGGCAUGCCUUUGGGGUGUGUUGAGUGUAGGGGUUGAUUAGCGCCGGCUAACUACGUGCCAGCAGCCGCGGUAAUACGUAGGGCGCGAGCGUUGUCCGGAAUUAUUGGGCGUAAAGGGCUUGUAGGUGGCUGGUUGCGUCUGUCGUGAAAGCUCAUGGCUUAACUGGGGGUUGGCGGUGGGUACGGGCUGGAUUGAGUGCAGUAGGGGAGGCUGGAAUGCCUGGUGUAGCGGUGGAAUGCGCAGAUAUCAGGAGGAAUACCGGUGGCGAAGGCGGGUCUCUGGGCUGUUACUGACGCUGAGGAGCGAAAGCGUGGGGAGCGAACAGG